UUUCCGCCGGGUUUCCUAGAAACCACCGUUCACAUGGGGCUCAUAUUGAAGUCUCGUCUGAAUCCUCCACAACUUCUCAGCACGCGUUGGUCUUGUCUUUUUCUGACGUUUCUUGGGGUGCAAUUCAAUCCAAGUUCAUGGCACUUCUGCUAACCCUAAGAGGAACUUGGGGUUUGAAGAAUAUGCAUAAUAUGCAUCUACUUCUGGUGGAUCCAUGAGGCCUGUGAAAAAUCUGUCCUGUGAUGUAUUUCAUCGCAGUCCGGAAGUCAAACAACACACGCUGGUCAUCACUCUCUAUAAAAUGUUUAAUGCCAUGGGAAUGGAUUGUUUUUGGGAUUCAGGAGAGCUUAAAUUGGUGGAUCAUUUGCCUGGGAAAUUAGAAGCUGCUUGGCUUCAUAUAGCUAUAUUUCCAGACCAGCACGCACAACCCUGGUUGUGUUUGGCAGAUCUGUCCACAGAUCUGGCUUUUAUGUUUAAAACAUACGUUAGAAUUGUUUCUAUUAUCUACCAUGUUAAGUCUGAAGGUGUCCCAUAUGCAAAAGGAGUCUCUGCCGAUGCGUUUCACUGGAGCGAAAAGCAGAGUAGAUAUACCCCAGAAAAGCUUCAGGAGUGGAAGAACGUGCUCUACGAUCUUUCACAUAAUAUAGAUCACAUCCUUGGUAUCAAGGAAGAUGAGGACAGACUGCUUCUAAAGACUAUUGUUUAUGGUGUAUUGAAAGGAAUUGGAAAGGUACCAUUCGUGGUCGAUGCCCCAAAAGACUUUGAAUUGACUAUACUUCAAUCUGAAAAAAGUCAGCAGCAAAUUAUAAGAAUUUGAGGUAUGGGCGGUUCUGGCAAAAUUACCGGUGUUAACAAAAUUAUAUUCAUUUUUGGAAAAGUCUAGCCUUAUGUUAGAGGCUAGAUGAGUUGCCUCCACAAAUCUAUGGAGAAGCAAAGGUGAAUAUAUAUUUUGUUAAAUGAGAUGACAUGAAUUGCACAAAAAUGCAUGGAUACUGAAGGGAUUUGGGAAGGGAAAUCACAAAUCAACAAUCACCCUAUCGUCUUUGGUGUCCAGAGCAAAGUGUUAAAGCUUCUAAUGGAUAACAGUGCAAUGUUUUUGAAAAGGCUACCCUAUGAUGUAUUUUUUAAUCAUUAGGGUCUUCAUGUCAAACACACACUGACCACCACUCUCUAUAAAAUAUUUGAUAGCAUGAGAGUAAGGCUUUUUCUGAAUUCAGAAAAGGUUGAAUUAGGGGAUUACCUGCCUAGAGAACUAGAAGAGGCAAUGAUCAGUGCUUCACUUCAUAUAGCCAUAUUUUGUGGUGUUUGACAGAGCUGUCAUUUAUGCUCAAAAAAUGGCAUAUGCUAGUAUGCACAAUCCAAGUGGUGUUUGACCGAGCUAUCAUUUAUGCUCAAAAAAGGCAUAUGUUAGUAUGCACAAUCCGAGUGGUGUUUGACCGAGCUAUCAUUUAUGCUCAAAAAAGGCAAAUGCUAGUAUGCACAAUCCAAGUGGUGUUUGACAGAGCUGUCAUUUAUGCUCAAAAAAGGCAUAUGCAAAUAUGCACAAUCUGAGUGGUGUUUGACAGAGCUAUCAUUUAUGCUUAAAAAGGGCAUUACAACUGUUUCCAUUUUUUACUAUGUUAAGCUUGAAGAUGUUCAAUAUGCAUGUUGAUGCAUUUUAUAAGAUUGACAAGAGUAAGAUUGACAAGAAGGGUAGAUACACUGACAAAAAACUUAAGGGAUGAAAGAAGGUGCUCUAGGAUGUGUCACCACUCUUCAAUCUACUGAAAGUCACCAAAAUCAAAAUGAAAAGAAGGGUGGAUACACCUUAGAAAAGCUUCAAGAGUGGAAGAAGAAUGAAAAGAAGAGUAGAUACAGCUCAGAAAAGCUUCAAGAAUGGAAGAAAGUGCUUUAGGAUGUUUCACCACACUCUAAUAUGUCAACAGUCAUCAAAAUGUGCAAAUUGUAGGAAUAUGGGGCAUGGGUGGUUCCGGCAAAAUUACUCUUGCUAAAAACCUUACAUUCAUAGAAAAGUCUAGCCUUAUAUUUGAUGUUAGAGCUGUUACAUAACAAGCAGAAAAAAUUCUUGGACAACCUGGGUUUUGAAAGUGUAUCAAUUGACAGCAUAGAAGAAGGGAAGGCAAUUUGCAAGCUGCUUGGGAUCUGAGAGGGAUGUUCAUUGUAUAACAUGAUGUUAAUCAUGUGGACCACCCACCUGAAUGCUCUAUUGGUUGCUAAGGAUAGCUUGUGAUCCGAAAAUUUGAUUGGAUCAGGUACUUUGAUUUUGUCACUGCUAGGGAAUUUGAAGUGCCUAUAUCUUGGGGGCAGCUCUUUUUUGACAUGCUUUCUUGCAACUAUCUCGAAGGGAUGGAUUUGAGGAGCUUGUUAACAGAUUAUUAAAAUCUUGUAAAGUCUUUGGUAGGCAGUUUGAUGGAAAUGUCAGCAAAGAUCACUUGGAGACUCUUAAUUACAUAAGAUCUCUGGAAUACUACAGGAUGAUAUCAAGCAGAGGCUUUUUGUAAGUUAGCCCUUGAUGUUGGAGGAAGUUAUUUUUGGAAACGUGUUUCUUCAUUGGCGAAGAAAGCAAUUUUGGAAUUGAGUAUGGAACAGAUUAAGGUGGAGUUUUCUGCACAGUUGGGAAAGUUUACGGAAUAAAUGUCUUGUUGAACCUGAUGAAAUAAAUUGCACAAGGAUGCACGACCACCCAAGGGGUUCACGAAGGGAAACUGCAAAUCAAGAAUCACCCCACGAACUUUGGAUUUUCCAGCAAACUGUCAAAGUUUCUAAUGAAGAACAGAAAGGAGUAGGCAUUCAAGCAAAAAAGUCCUCCUCAAUUUAAGCAACAUGGGAUUAUUGGCUACAUUACUAUAUUCAAGAAAUGGUCGAAAGAGAUGGAUCAAAUAGUGAUACUGAGGAGUUUGGUGAUUGCUCAUUGCACGUUGAACUCAUGGUUAACACAUGAAAAGGAAAUUGGACCCUUGCACCUUCUAAACUGGUACUAAAAAUUAUUGUGGCUCAAGGUCGUGAUUUAAUCAAAUAAUUAGUGCAGUAUCAAGAGAUCGGGUCUAGCUUCACUGGUUUGAUAUUGGGCAGAGAAAUCUUAAGUCACUAAUUCCAUCGAAAAAGAUGAGGAUUUAGAAUUAUAUGAAGCUGGGGUUAGGAAUUUUUUUGAGGAUUUUAGAGUUAUAUGCAAGCAGGUGCUCACUCAUCAGCUGCUGACCUCCCUGCUGCUUCCUACCACAACCUCUGACUGGUUAACCUUUCCUCUGUCAAACUUUAUUACUCACCACACAGACAGCUUUAAUCCCAAAUGCUUGUACUGUGUAAUGCAUUUUUCGGUAUGAUCAAAAUCAUCAAAUUUAUUCCUGUGAUUUAAGUGCAUAUCUCUCUGUGCAAGUUUUGUUUCACUGUAAUGUCAAGGGAACAGCUGUAAAUCUUUGGCCGAAAGUGUCUGAUGGAUAGAAGACCACACACCAGCUUCAUCUGUAUCAGUCUCUUUGUUCGGUUCAUUACUUGUUAGGCAUAUCUCGAGUAAGAGCAAUGUUAUCAAAUAGUACUUUGACAAUCAAUAAAAAACAGAGUAAAGUUAUAAACUUUUA